rnacentral:rRNA from 1 species
GAUGAACGCUGGCGGCGUGCCUAAUACAUGCAAGUCGAGCGAACAGACGAGGAGCUUGCUCCUCUGACGUUAGCGGCGGACGGGUGAGUAACACGUGGAUAACCUACCUAUAAGACUGGGAUAACUUCGGGAAACCGGAGCUAAUACCGGAUAAUAUAUUGAACCGCAUGGUUCAAUAGUGAAAGACGGUUUUGCUGUCACUUAUAGAUGGAUCCGCGCCGCAUUAGCUAGUUGGUAAGGUAACGGCUUACCAAGGCAACGAUGCGUAGCCGACCUGAGAGGGUGAUCGGCCACACUGGGACUGAGACACGGUCCAGACUCCUACGGGAGGCAGCAGUAGGGAAUCUUCCGCAAUGGGCGAAAGCCUGACGGAGCAACGCCACGUGAGUGAUGAAGGUCUUCGGAUCGUAAAACUCUGUUAUUAGGGAAGAACAAAUGUGUAAGUAACUAUGCACGUCUUGACGGUACCUAAUCAGAAAGCCACGGCUAACUACGUG